rnacentral:rRNA from 1 species
UACGUAGGUGGCAAGCGUUGUCCGGAAUUAUUGGGCGUAAAGCGCGCGUAGGCGGUCUUUUAAGUCUGAUGUGAAAGCCCACGGCUCAACCGUGGAGGGUCAUUGGAAACUGGGGGACUUGAGUGCAGGAGAGAAGAGUGGAAUUCCACGUGUAGCGGUGAAAUGCGUAGAGAUGUGGAGGAACACCAGUGGCGAAGGCGACUCUUUGGCCUGUAACUGACGCUGAGGCGCGAAAGCGUGGGGAGCAAACAGG